UACGUAGGGGGCAAGCGUUGUCCGGAUUUAUUGGGCGUAAAGAGCGUGUAGGCGGCCAUUUCAGGUCAGCUGUGAAAACUCGAGGCUCAACCUCGAGACGUCGGUUGAAACCGUUUGGCUAGAGUCCGGAAGAGGAGAGUGGAAUUCCCGGUGUAGCGGUGAAAUGCGCAGAUAUCGGGAAGAACACCCGUGGCGAAGGCGGCUCUCUGGGACGGUACUGACGCUGAGACGCGAAAAGCGUGGGGAGCGAACAGG
rnacentral:rRNA from 1 species